CAGGUGAUUGCUGGGUAGGUGAUCUGCGGUCUACAUCUUGAAAAACAGUUCUUGGAAUGUUUGCUGCUCUGUCCCUGCUCAGAAGAUUCAAACUCUUGGAGUGCCACGUGACUGGAUUCUGGCCAGAAUCAAGAGACAGGAUGCCUCCUUAAAGAUAUUGUUGAAUAUGUCGACGUGUGAAAGUUUCACAUUCCUUGAGUGUGAAUUCUGAGGCGAGAAGAUAGAAGUUAAAGUGAAAAGACAAGCAGUGAUCAGUUGGUUGAAUCUACAGAUGCAGAAACUGUGGAUACAGAAGGCACAUAAGGGGAGACUGUGUUGUGAAGAUACCCGAC